rnacentral:rRNA from 1 species
UACGGAGGGUGCAAGCGUUGUCCGGAAUCACUGGGCGUAAAGGGCGCGUAGGUGGUCUGUUAAGGGUGUGGUGAAAGCCCGGGGCUCAACCCCGGGUCGGCCGUGCCGACUGUUAGACUAGAGUACUGUAGGGGCAGGCGGAAUUCCGGGUGUAGCGGUGGAAUGCGUAGAGAUCCGGAGGAAGACCGGUGGCGAAGGCGGCCUGCUGGGCAGUUACUGACACUGAGGCGCGACAGCGUGGGGAGCAAACAGG